AACGCGAAGAACCUUACCUGGCCUUGACAUGUCUGGAAUCCUGCAGAGAUGCGGGAGUGCCUUCGGGAAUCAGAACACAGGUGCUGCAUGGCUGUCGUCAGCUCGUGUCGUGAGAUGUUGGGUUAAGUCCCGCAACGAGCGCAACCCUUGUCCUUAGUUGCCAGCACGUAAUGGUGGGAACUCUAAGGAGACUGCCGGUGACAAACCGGAGGAAGGUGGGGAUGACGUCAAGUCCUCAUGGCCCUUACGGCCAGGGCUACACACGUACUACAAUGGUCGGUACAGAGGGUUGCAAUACCGCGAGGUGGAGCCAAUCCCAGAAAGCCGAUCCCAGUCCGGAUCGGAGUCUGCAACUCGACUCCGUGAAGUCGGAAUCGCUAGUAAUCGCGGAUCAGCUAUGCCGCGGUGAAUACGUUCCCGGGCCUUGUA
rnacentral:rRNA from 1 species